CCACUUGCAGACACUUCAUUUGCAACGAAGAUGGCUAAGUGGUGAGACCAGCGAUCCCUUGAGCUCCUGGAGCGUUGUGUGAGGGAGCUGCCCUUCACAGGGGAAACUGAGCCCAUCUGAGAAGAAUCAUGGGCUCUGCCCAUAAGGUUUCUCAUUCCACAGCAAGCCACAGUCUUUGAACCCCUCUCCUGCCAGCACGGAAGAAGAGACCACAGCAGAAAGAAGAUCAAAGGACAGAUUAUUGUUGAGAAGAUGUGAUCUGCAAAAGAAAGUUCCAGAUGCAAUUCAACAGGAAGAAAGAACUGAGAAACCUACUCUAACCCAACCAACAACAUUCAUUUUUCUGUGAGGAGCUGUCAUGAUUCAGCUGAAACCAACCAACAAUAGCUACAGUGGCAGUUCUCCAGAAUCCUCCCAGGUUGGAAAAGAGACCAUUCCUGUGGCCAAGAAGUAGGUACCAAUGAAUAUCGAUCUCACAGCACUACACCAAAUUAAUUCAUCAGGGACUGAAGAUUCUUCACCAAGCCGGCUCUCACUCCACCUCUUUCUGGUUCCCUUUUUUUAAUUCAAUAACGAGAAGGAAACUUGAUAGAGUAAAAUCGCCUCACUCCCUCUCACCUCAGUACUUCAUGAAGACAACAAAUAAAAGGCCCCGCCUGAGCUCUAAGAUCCUUCCCUACCAACCUGCAACUCGCCCUGUAGCAGGACCCUCUGGAAGGGAAUCCUCCAGCUGCCAAGCCUCCAGUCCUCCCUGGCCCAGAUUGGUUAAGGCAGCCCUGGUGUGGAGAGAAGGCUAUGAACAUUUGGACUGAGGUCUGCCUGCAGCCAAAGUUUCGAGGAACACACCAGCUGGGACGAGCGAGCGAGAGCCGGAUCUGCUUAACUCUAGAUAA